UACAGCAGCCCAAACACCCUAAUUCCUGUAUACAACAAGAACCAAACGAACCCUAGCCUUCACGCAGUCAGCAAAGCCAUAGCUGGCAAUGUUAUUUUUGGCUCAUAAUAGCACACGGUGUUUCUCCCUCAGACACGGUUCGGCCAACAAUGGCAAAACAUUUAUGGUUCUUGUCUUCAGAUGACAAACGGUAACAUGCUUUCUUAAAACUUUUUUGAUUUCUUUUUUUUUUCGGAUUUCAAACAUCUGUUUACAAAUCAACGGAUUUCAAACAAAUUUAAAAAUGAAUUUCAAAUUUACGAAAUGUCCUACAUCGGUUGAACCCUUUUAAUUGGGACUUUUGGGGUUAUAUAUAAAGAACCCCAUUCUUUUCUUCACAACCACGGUUUUCUACACUAAAAAACAAUUGAAUUUUCAGUUCACUUAACUUAAAACAAGAAAGUUUCUUGUAAAGUCGAGUCUCUACGUUUAAAAUUUUCUUUUGAUUCAUCUCUUACGCUGAGUCGAAGUCAAAGGUGAAAGUGAUCGUCAUCUCUCGUCGCCCCCGUCCCUGCCUACAAAGAAGUGAAAUACCUCAACGAGUCUACACGAACUCUAGCCUUUAGCAUUCUGUUUUGGGCCCAUGGCCCAAAACAAUAUUCCAUUGAGUCAAGCCCAAAAUUCAUUCUAUCAUGUCCGAUGCUUUGAAGGCCCAACCAUGGAUGAAAAUGACAAAUGGUGGGCUCGGUAGGCCUGCCGGUCUAACUUUUCUCUUUAUUUCAUAUUUGUGUACAUGUAUAUGUAAAUAAUGCCCGUAUAAAUAUUGAAACCCAAUGGUUGGAACUUACGCAUAUAUACAUCGCGUAGAGUGGAUUAGGAAACUCAAAGAAAACAUGAUUUUCAAACAAGGAAUUAACAAAUGAUAAAUGAUGUAUGAAACAUGGUAAAUGAUUUUCCAACUUGAUAAUUUCUUCAACGACGGUAUACGAGACAUAUAUACGUGUGUAUAUUAAUAGGAAGAAAAAGCAACAUUUGGGUAUUAGCUUUGAAAAUUGAAACUGUUUUGAGUCAUUUUUACGUUUACAAGUUGAAAUGAUUUUUGUGCCUAAAGGAAAUUGAGAAGAAACUAAUUUCAUAAGGUAGUAGAAUAAUAAAAUGAAUUUCAAAAACCAUAAAAGCUUAAGGAUUUUCCAAAUCCCUUUGGGCCCAAAGGUCAAACCUUAAGACAUGAAACUAAGAAAAAAUACAUUUGGAUUCAAGUUUGAAAUGAGAUGGCUUUGUUGGUAGAAUAUAGAUGAUUGCAUGAGCUUCAAUAUACUAAAAGAGAGAAAAGCAAACUUUUUUCUCUACUUAUAUUUAUCAAAACCUAUAUUAUUUUAGGAAGGAGAUAUACUCCAUCUAUUUUUUAUACAUAUAAUAAGUCUUAUAAGGACAAAAAUCACGACAUUAGGGCCAAGUAGUAGGAAUUCUACUUAAGUGAAAUCUUAAGUGUGUUUUGGUCUGAAAAUGAAGUGAAUUUAACUUCCUUAUAAUAUUUUUCAAAAGAAACAAAUUGUUUAUCCGUAAAGAUAUUUUUGCCAAUGGUGGAAUUUUAUGAUAAAAAAUGACUAUUGUUUACAAGAAAAAAAACAUUUUAGCAAUAAUUACAAUUAAUCACACAUUGAAGCUCGUCGGUCAACCGUAUUCGACGGAUCCUUAAUACUAGGGUGCUUAAAACCUUCCUUAAGGGAUCAUCAGAGCCCUUACGUCGAGCUUUGGUACCAGAGGAUUUCCCUUUUGUGUGAAAAAAUCCUUUUACUCGAUUUCCUAAUUUCCUUUAUAAAAUUAGGUGGUGACUCUAAAAAAUAUAAAAUUCAAAUAGAGUCCACAACCUCAUAGUAGCUUUUAUGCACCCGCAUAAAAGUGAACCGUAACAGAUGGAAACCUUGCUGGGGACUUUCUAGGUUCUAACCAUAAGGGUUUCAAUAUAAUGUUAUAUAAUUGUGAAUAUUUGCUUAUUUGUUUAUUUUCUUGCAAAAUAUAAAUUGUCAUGCAUUUCAUAUCAUAAACUCCGCCACUCUUGGCAUUUAUUUUAUAGUUUGUUUCAAAGGUGACUUCGCGGAGCAUGCAGUCGUUUCUUUACUAUAAAAGAAAAAAUAUUUCUUUUGGAACCGUUAUCAGGCGAGGUUGGUUCGCGGUUGUCCAACAGCCCUAACGGUUCAACCCUAGUUGUCCGCUCGGGUUCCCGGUCAUUUGUAAAAGCUCACUCUAGUGAUAACUAGGAUAGAGCAAAGUCAAAUCCCUACCGAACUAGAGCAUUCAUGCCUAGAUGAGCCUUGGGUAUCUCAGACCUACCUAAGGCUCAUUAAGAAGACUACCUUGUGCUCGGAAGGUCUAUGACCCGAAGACGCCGCAUCCAACUAUGUCAAAAAUUGAAGGAUGUACAUGCCGUUAUUCAAGUCGUUUCUUCUUGGGGUUGGGAAUUUUUCCUUUACUUUUUAGACUUCAUCCGAGAGGAGCUCGGAAAGUUCGAGAGAUGAUGAAGGACCCGUUUGGCGGUGUAGUUUAGGAUUUGUACCCCUGCGUGGGACUGACAUUUGUAUACCCCGUUCCCUUACUGUGUAUCUACAUUUAAUAUAUUCAUAAAGUUAUGUAUAAAUUUUGGGGCAAAGGAAACGUCUUAAUGGCAUCCACAUCCUUCAAAUCGAUAGGCUUACCUUUGGCUUAAAAAGGUCACAUGCACGUUAGGACACUAUAGAUAUUGUUUAUGUGCUAUAUGCUAUGCAAUAUGUGUUUUUUGC